UUCGUUGGUGAACCAGCGGAAGGAUCAUUA
rnacentral:rRNA from 1 species